rnacentral:rRNA from 1 species
UGGGGAAUCUUGCGCAAUGGGCGGAAGCCUGACGCAGCAACGCCGCGUGUGGGAAGACGGCUUUCGGGUUGUAAACCACUUUCAGGGGGGACGAAGCUUCCGAGGUUAAUAGCCUACGGGGUGACGGUACCCCCAGAAGAAGCCCCGGCUAACUACGUGCCAGCAGCCGCGGUAAUACGUAGGGGGCGAGCGUUGUCCGGAAUCAUUGGGCGUAGCGCGUGUAGGCGGCUUGAUAAAGUCUGGUGUGAAAUCUUGGGGCUCAACCCCAAGCCUGCACUGGAUACUGCCAAGCUUGAGUCCGGGAGGGGAGAGCGGAAUUCCUAGUGUAGCGGUGAAAUGCGCAGAUAUUAGGAAGAACACCGGUGGCGAAGGCGGCUCUCUGGAACGGUACUGACGCUGAGACGCGAAAGCGUGGGGAGCGAACAGGAUUAGAUACCCUGGUAGUCCACGCCGUAAACGAUGGGCACUAGAUGUGGGCGGUGUCGACUCCGUCCGUGUCGAAGCUAACGCAUUAAGUGCCCCGCCUGGGGAGUACGGCCGCAAGGUUA